UCGGGUUUAGGGUCCGAGGAGUCCGAGCAAAUAAUUCUCCCCCUGGGCCGUAGCAAGGGGGUGUCAGGGUGAGAGUUGGGGGCAUUUCUCAAGAAGCAAAACCAUCCCUCCCACCCCAGCUUCGGUAGCUGGGCCGGAGUCCGGGUUGAGAGCAAAAAUCCUGGUUGGUUUAGGCGAAGAGGAUUCCGGGGCAAAGUCGGAGCCGCGAGACCGCGCUUCGAGCAUCUCCCCUUCGGUCUCUGCCUCCUGUCCCCUGCCUGCUCCCCGUUUAAUUUUUUUUUUUUUUUUUUUUUUUUUGCCCCCUCGCCUUUAAUCUAAUUUCUUCCAACUCCACCUUUGUUGUUAACCGGCGUCACGCCCGGACUAGCCAAUCCCCGCCACGCAAUCAGCUUGUCAAAAAGGCUCGGCCAGCCCUGGGAAAACAGGCCGCGGGCACUGCCCCCCCAACCCUACCCCCCGCCCCCCGCACGGCGGCGGCGGCGGCGGCGGGGAGCCGCGAGGGGAGCCUUGCACCCCGGCCUCGCCGCCCGAGCCGCAGCGGGGCAGCCUCCUCGUAGGUUUCCGCUCUCCACCAUCCUGAGGGCCAGGGAUUUUAGGGCCUGGGCGGGGAUCGAAAGGCCUGGGCGGGACCACCAUCUACCCUCCCAUUGCCGUCGGCUGUGGUUGUCUGUCUCUGCCUCUCCUCCUCCGAGGAAGGUUCAUCUGGACGCAGGAAGCCAGAAGACAGUCUGAAGAACGCCUGCUUCCAAUCGGCGAGCUUACGGCUUGGGCCAUCGCUCCGGGGGCAGAGCCAUUGCUCCCGGGUCCCGGAAUGCCAGUCUACCACACCAACACUGCUACGGCCCACAUCUCGACCAGCUGGAUCACCGGCCCCUUUGGACUCUCCCCUGGCACACAGCCUUCUCCAUCCUCACACAACAGCCUCGCUGCUGCUGUAAUUCCUCUUGUCUCCUGGGAGAAAUGAGAUUCCUUUCCCAGGACUUCCAUAGCCCACAUCUGCCACGUUUCACAAACAAGGAGGAAAAUCCUGUCAAGGUCUGGUGUGUCUGGAUUCUUCAGUGGGUAGGGCAUGUAGGAGGGGCCGAUUUACCUUGAUGCUAUUGAAGCUUACGCUUCAGGGCUCCUCAUCGCAGGGCCUGUUCAAGGCCCUGUCCUUAAUUUUGAUUCAUCAUUUGGUAUUAUUUUUGAGUCUCCCCCUCCCCUCCAAUUGUACAAGUUUCAGCCCCACAAACCCAGCUCUGCCCUUGGAACCUACAGAGUGCAUUUUGUGUAGGACCAAGACAUCUCACACCGCACUUCGAGCCUGCAGGGACUGACUUUCUUGUUUUGACUGGGAAACAGCAAAGGGUUUGGAGUCAGAAGUCCCAGCUUCCGAGCUUCUCGGCUUCCCAACCUUCUUAACAGUACUCUUAUCCUCUCAAGAUAUCCCCCCUUUCUCAUCACUGGGCCAGCUCUUACUUUUCCCUCAGGAAUCAGAGUAAAUGUCUCCAGGAAUCCUUGCCAAACCUCAGCCGGCCUCUGCUCCCAGCACUCCCUGCAGAAUUACGCAUCAUUCUUGUUGAACGCCUGGCUCCCACGCAGACUGGAAGUCCUAUGAGAAUUGGAGCUAUGUCCACCUGCCUCUGCUAUUGACUCACCUACAUGGAAGGAUUCCCAAUUUGCCUCUUUGCAGCCAACCUCUCCUGUAUACAGCUCCCAGGUGAAUCACUUUCAUCAUGUCAUCCCCAGUUCUAGAACCUGCAGUGACUUGCUGGUGCCUAUUGAAUCAAACCCAAACUCUUCCUCUUGUGUAUAUUUAAUUACAUCAACAUUAAAUAUUUCUGUUCAAUGAGGUGGACAAAGUUAAGAGAGAGAUGACAAAAUGGGAGAAUAUUUUUGCAACGUCCAAAACCAACAUAGAUUCUUCCAGAUCUCUUGCAAAUCAACCUCCAAAAAGGCAUCAGUAGAAAUAUGAUCCAAUGAUGUAAAAAGACUUUAUAUAAGAGGAAACGUUAAAGACUAAUUGCCAAGUGCAAAGAUGCUCAAACUCUUUGGUGAUCAGACAAAUGCAAAUAAAACAACAGUGAGGGGGCUUCCCUGGUGGCGCAGUGGUUGAGAGUCCGCCUGCCGAUGCAGUGGACACAGGUUCGUGCCCCGGUCCAGGAAGAUCCCACAUGCCGCGGAGUGGCUGGGCCCGUGAGCCAUGGCUGUUGAGCCUGCGCGUCCGGAGCCUGUGCUCCGCAACGGGAGAGCCCACGACAGUGAGAGGCCCGCGUACCGCAAAAAAAAAAACACCCAAAAAACAGUGAGAUAAUACCUCAGUCGGGGUAGGAAAAAUCAGACAGCUGGAUAAUAUCAAUCAUAUGGGAAUAUAGGAACCUCCUGCUCUGCGUGUGGGAGUGUGGCCUGGUGCAGACAUUGCGGAGAAAAAUAUGGCUGUACUUAGUCAAAUGAAGACAGAUGUAUUUAUACCCUAUGACCUAGCAAGUCCACUCCUGGCUUCUACAUUUAUAACGCAGAGAGAUUCUCACUAGAUCCAUAAGAGGACAAGGCUGAGGAUGUGCAUUGCAGCAUUGCUUAUUGGAGGGGAGUUGGGUGCAGUCAGAUGUCCCUCCCUGGGAGAGUGAAGAGGCCAAAGGUGGGGAAUGCCCCCAUGGAGCACCCCACAGCAAUUAAAGCAACUCUGUUCCUGGCUGGAUCCAACUCAGGGCAACCUGGCUGGAUCUUAAAGCCACAGUGCUGGGUGCAAAGAGGACGAACAGUGCAAGGCCUAGAACACAGUGCUGGUAAUGUAUAGAAAUACACACACACUGUAUGGUCAGGCCAUUCAAGAUGGCUGUUCUCUCGCUCUGUGUACAUCCCCUGCCCGACCAGUGCCUGCUUCACCUACACCCUACGCACAUGACUGACCUUCCUAUGUGCUUGCCCCAGGCCCAGCUAGUGAUAGCUUAUCAAAGGGGUGGUGAGGGGCAUGCCUCUCUGCUGCUUUCCCUGGUAACUAACGAGCCAACCUGAUAUCAGUUCCCCCUGUGUGUGGCAGUCUCCCGUUCCCUUAGGGAGCAAAGACUGCCACCACGUCCUGUCUGCCGUACAUGGUGAGGUGUCGCUCCAGGACCUUGCUUCACACAUGUAAGCUCCCGCAGCCAUUAAACCAUCCAUGUGUCUAUUGCUGACUCUGGGCUCUUUCUUGGGUCUCAAAGCUGGGCAAUCACAGGGCUUGUAGGCCUGUGGGGUACAGCCCAACACACACAUACCCCCUGAAACCAACCAAAAAGAGGCAUUCUGAGAAAUUUAGUUAUGGAUUGAAUGCUAAUUUUGCUAAUUUUUUGCUAAUUUUGUUGGGUGUGACAAUGGCCCUGCGGUUGGGUUCAAAAAUGAUCAGUGCUGGGGGGGACGCAUAGCUGAAAGGCAUAAGGGUGAAAUGGCAUGACGUAUGAAAUUUACUUUCAAGUAUUUAGUUCAGCAGAGGGAAAAAAGAGAAAGUGUAUUUUAGGCAAAGAUUUAAGCAAGAUUUUAAGGCAAAAUCUUGAUAAUUUCUGCGUCUGGGAGAUGAGUAUAUGGUGGUUUGUUGUACUAUUGUCUCUACUUUUGUGUAUGUAUUAAAAUUCAUAAUAAAACUUAAAACAAUA